AGUCAAGUAAUUAAGUGCAUGUGGUGGAUGCCUUGGCAGUCAGAGGCGAUGAAAGACGUGAUAGCCUGCGAAAAGCUCCGGGGAGGCGGCAAAUAUCCUUUGAUCCGGAGAUGUCUGAAUGGGGGAACCCACCUACUUUAAGGUAGGUAUUGCAACAUGAAUACAUAGUGUUGCAAGGCGAACGAGGGGAAGUGAAACAUCUCAGUACCCUUAGGAAAAGAAAUCAAUUGAGAUUCCCUCAGUAGCGGCGAGCGAACGGGGAUCAGCCCAUUAAGUUAUGUGUGUUUUAGUGGAACGCUCUGGGAAGUGCGAACGUAGAGGGUGAUAUUCCCGUACACGAAAGGGCACACAUAAUGAUGACGAGUAGGGCGAGGCACGUGAAACCUUGUCUGAAUAUGGGGGGACCAUCCUCCAAGGCUAAAUACUCCUGACUGACCGAUAGUGAACCAGUACCGUGAGGGAAAGGCGAAAAGAACCCCUGUGAGGGGAGUGAAAUAGAUCCUGAAACCGCAUGCAUACAAGCAGUGGGAGCACCUUCGUGGUGUGACUGCGUACCUUUUGUAUAAUGGGUCAGCGACUUAUAUUCAGUAGCGAGGUUAACCGUAUAGGGGAGCCGUAGAGA
rnacentral:rRNA from 1 species